CAGCCGCCGCGGUAAUACGAAGGGUGCAAGCGUUACUCGGAAUUACUGGGCGUAAAGCGUGUGUAGGUGGUUGUUUAAGUCUGUCGUGAAAGCCCUGGGCUCAACCUGGGAAUUGCGAUGGAUACUGGGCGACUAGAGUGCGGUAGAGGAUAGUGGAACUUCCGGUGUAGCAGUGAAAUGCGUAGAGAUCGGAAGGAACAUCUGUGGCGAAGGCGACUAUCUGGGCCAACACUGACACUGAGACACGAAAGCGUGGGGAGCAAACAGGAUUAGAUACCCCGUAGUCCCUGUCUCUUAUACA
rnacentral:rRNA from 1 species